AGAGUUUGAUCCUGGCUCAGGACGAACGCUGGCGGCGUGCUUAACACAUGCAAGUCGAACGGUGAACCUGCUUCGGUGGGGGAUCAGUGGCGAACGGGUGAGUAACACGUGGGCAACCUGCCCCUGGCUCUGGGAUAACUCCAAGAAAUUGGUGCUAAUACCGGAUGUGACCGCUGACCGCAUGGUCUGGUGGUGGAAAGAUUCAUCGGCUGAGGAUGGGCCCGCGGCCUAUCAGCUUGUUGGUGGGGUAAUGGCCCACCAAGGCGACGACGGGUAGCCGGCCUGAGAGGGUGACCGGCCACACUGGGACUGAGACACGGCCCAGACUCCUACGGGAGGCAGCAGUGGGGAAUAUUGCGCAAUGGGCGAAAGCCUGACGCAGCGACGCCGCGUGAGGGAUGACGGCCUUCGGGUUGUAAACCUCUUUCAGUAGGGACGAAGCGCAAGUGACGGUACCUGCAGAAGAAGCGCCGGCCAACUACGUGCCAGCAGCCGCGGUAAGACGUAGGGCGCGAGCGUUGUCCGGAUUUAUUGGGCGUAAAGAGCUCGUAGGCGGCUUGUCGCGUCGACUGUGAAAACCCGCGGCUCAACCGCGGGCCUGCAGCCGAUACGGGCAGGCUAGAGUUCGGUAGGGGAGACUGGAAUUCCUGGUGUAGCGGUGAAAUGCGCAGAUAUCAGGAGGAACACCGAUGGCGAAGGCAGGUCUCUGGGCCGAUACUGACGCUGAGGAGCGAAAGCGUGGGGAGCGAACAGGAUUAGAUACCCUAGUAGUCC
rnacentral:rRNA from 1 species